UAAGACAUAGGUGGCGAACGUUAUCCGGAUUUAUUGGGCGUAAAGGAUGCGUAGAUGGUGGAAUAAGUUAUUGGUCGAGGUCAAGCUCAACUUGGCGGAAGCUGGUAAUACUGUUCUACUUGAGGACAGGAGAGGUUGGCGGAAUUCUGUGUGGAGCGGUGAAAUGCGUUGAUCUACAGAGGAACACCAAAAAGGGCGAAGGCAGCUAACUAUUCUGAUCCUGACAUUGAGGCAUGAAAGCGUGGGGAGCAAACCGGAUUAGAUACCCGGGUAGUCCACGCCCUAAACGAUGAGCAUUAGACAUUAGGUGUUAUGCUUAGUGUCGCAGCUAACGCUUUAAAUGCUCCGCCUGGGUAGUACGGUCGCAAGGCUA
rnacentral:rRNA from 1 species